rnacentral:misc_RNA from 1 species
GUUACACAAGCCUGAAAUUAAUCAUCAUAGCAAUUGUAUAAUUUUAUCUUUCAUUAAUUUUAACAGUAAACCAACACUCACAAAUAACCUGGAUUAUGGUUCCUCAAGAGACCAUAAGGUAGAUAUAGGAUAUGAUGCAACAACCAAUAUCAUGUAGCUGUCUAUCUCAUUCCAAUCCAAAAGUGUGUAUGAAUAUCUAAAUUAUUGGGGAAAU